rnacentral:rRNA from 1 species
AUUGAACGCUGGCGGCAGGCCUAACACAUGCAAGUCGAGCGGAUGAGUGGAGCUUGCUCCAUGAUUCAGCGGCGGACGGGUGAGUAAUGCCUAGGAAUCUGCCUAUUAGUGGGGGACAACGUUUCGAAAGGAACGCUAAUACCGCAUACGUCCUACGGGAGAAAGCAGGGGACCUUCGGGCCUUGCGCUAAUAGAUGAGCCUGGGUCGGAUUAGCUAGUUGGUGAGGUAAUGGCUCACCAAGGCGACGAUCCGUAACUGGUCUGAGAGGAUGAUCAGUCACACUGGAACUGAGACACGGUCCAGACUCCUACGGGAGGCAGCAGUGGGGAAUAUUGGACAAUGGGCGAAAGCCUGAUCCAGCCAUGCCGCGUGUGUGAAGAAGGUCUUCGGAUUGUAAAGCACUUUAAGUUGGGAGGAAGGGUUGUACGUUAAUACCGUGCAAUUUUGACGUUACCGACAGAAUAAGCACCGGCUAACUCUGUGCCAGCAGCCGCCGUAAGAC